rnacentral:rRNA from 1 species
UACGUAGGGACCGAGCGUUGUCCGGAAUCAUUGGGCGUAAAGAGCGUGUAGGCGGCCACUUAAGUCCUGCGUGAAAUCUUGCGGCUCAACCGCAAGCGGUCGUGGGAAACUGGGUGGCUAGAGUGCGGGAGAGGAGAGUGGAAUUCCUGGUGUAGCGGUGGAAAUGCGUAGAUAUCAGGAGGAACACCGGUGGUGUAAAGCGGCUUCUGGACCGAAUACUGACGCUGAGGCACGAAGACGUGGGGAGCAAACAGG